rnacentral:rRNA from 1 species
AUGCAAGGGAGGUCGUCGUGGAUGAGCGACAUGGUAUGGACCAUCUCGACGGCAUAGGCCACCGGCAGGGCAGCGGCCUCAUCGCCGCCCACUAGCUCGCACGCAGCAAGCGUAAGCAUGGGGCGCACCCGCUUGCCCCCCGCGAAGAGCGAGUAG